rnacentral:rRNA from 1 species
GGGAAGAGCUCAAAUUUAUAAUCUGGCACCUUCGGUGUCCGAGUUGUAAUCUCUAGAAAUGUUUUCCGCGUUGGACCGCACACAAGUCUGUUGGAAUACAGCGGCAUAGUGGUGAGACCCCCGUAUAUGGUGCGGACGCCCAGCGCUUUGUGAUACAUUUUCGAAGAGUCGAGUUGUUUGGGAAUGCAGCUCAAAUUGGGUGGUAAAUUCCAUCUAAAGCUAAAUAUUGGCGAGAGACCGAUAGCGAACAAGUACCGUGAGGGAAAGAUGAAAAGCACUUUGGAAAGAGAGUUAACAGUACGUGAAAUUGUUGGAAGGGAAACGCUUGAAGUCAGACUUGCUUGCCGAGCAAUCGGUUUGCAGGCCAGCAUCAGUUUUCCGGGAUGGAUAAUGGUAGAGAGAAGGUAGCAGUUUCGGCUGUGUUAUAGCUCUCUGCUGGAUACAUCUUGGGGGACUGAGGAACGCAGUGUGCCUUU